AUGGCAGUGACGGUGGAGAUCACGCAGAGCACGGUGCUCGAGCCCUCACGGGAGUCGGCCCGCGGCGGCGGCAAGAAGGUGCCUCUCACCGUCUUCGACCGCGCCUCCACGGACGGGUACAUCCCGGCCGUCUUCGCGUGGAACGCGCCGGCGCCGACCAACGAGGCGCUCAAGGCCGGCCUCGUCGCCGCCGUCGCCAGGUUCCCGCACCUUGCCGGGAGGUUCGCUGCCGACGACCACAGCCGGAAGUGCUUCCACCUCAACGACGCCGGGGUGCUUGUCCUCGAGGCCACCGUGGAGGCGGACCUUGCCGACGCGCUGGCGCACGACGUGUCCGCGCACAUCAACGAGCUCUACCCGAAGGCCGAAAAGGAACGUGCGAAUGAGCCCAUCUUCCAGGCGCAGCUGACGAGGUACGCGUGCGGCGGUCUGGUGAUCGGCACCGCCUGCCACCACCAGGUUGCCGACGGUCAGUCCAUGAGCGUCUUCUACACCGCGUGGGCCAGCGCCGUCCGCACCGACUCGGCAGUCCUCAUGUCACCGUUCGUCGAUCGCUCGGCCACCGUUGUCCCCCGAAGGCCACCGACGCCGGCGCAUGAUCACCGGAAUAUCGAGUUCAAGGGCGAGCUCAGCCGGAGCCACUCCUAUGGUGUCCUCCCCAUGGACAGGAUCAAGAACCUGGCCGUGCACUUCCCGGACGAGUUCGUCGCCGACCUCAAGGCCCGUGUGGGCACGCGCUGCAGCACGUUCCAGUGCCUCCUUGCGCACGCGUGGAAGAAGAUCACGGCGGCGCGGGAUCUGGCGCCGGACGAUUUCACGCAGGUGAGGGUCGCCGUCAACUGCCGCGGCCGCGCAAAGCCUCCCGUGCCCAUGGACUUCUUCGGGAACAUGGUGCUCUGGGCGUUCCCGAGGAUGCAGGUCCGGGACCUCCUGUCCAGCAGCUACCCAGCGGUGGUCGGCGCCAUCCGGGACGCCGUCGCGCUCGUCGACGACGAGUACAUCCAGUCGUUUAUCGACUUCGGGGAGGCGGAGCGCGGCGUGAUUGAAGACGGCGGCGAGGAGCUGGCGUCGACGGCAGCGACGCCGGGCACAAUGUUUUGCCCUGACCUGGAGGUUGACAGCUGGCUCGGGUUCCGCUUCCACGACCUCGACUUUGGCUGCGGGCCGCCCUGCGCGUUCCUACCGCCGGAUCUGCCCAUCGAAGGAAUAAUGAUCUUCGUGCCGUCCUGCGACCCCAAGGGCGGUGUCGACCUCUUCAUGGCGCUCGAUGACGAACACGUCCAGACCUUCAAGCAGAUAUGCUACUCCAUGGACUAG
rnacentral:rRNA from 1 species